rnacentral:rRNA from 1 species
AACGAACGCUGGCGGCAUGCCUAACACAUGCAAGUCGAACGAGAUCUUCGGGUCUAGUGGCGCACGGGUGCGUAACGCGUGGGAAUCUGCCCUUUGGUUCGGAAUAACAGUUGGAAACGACUGCUAAUACCGGAUGAUGACGAAAGUCCAAAGAUUUAUCGCCAGAGGAUGAGCCCGCGUAGGAUUAGCUAGUUGGUGUGGUAAAGGCGCACCAAGGCGACGAUCCUUAGCUGGUCUGAGAGGAUGAUCAGCCACAGUGGGACUGAGACACGGCCCAGACUCCUACGGGAGGCGGCAGUGGGGAAUAUUGGACAAUAGGCGAAAGUCUGGUCCAGCAAUGCCGUGUGAGUGAUGAAGGCCUUAGGUUUGUAAAGCUCUUUUACCCGGGAUGAUAAUGACAGUACCGGGAGAAUAAGCUCCGGCUAACUCCGUGCCAGCCGCCGCCGUAA